rnacentral:rRNA from 1 species
AGCGGCGGACGGGUGAGUAACGCGUGGGAAUAUACCCUUCUCUAAGGAAUAGCCUCUGGAAACGGAGAGUAAUACCUUAUACGCCCUUCGGGGGAAAGAUUUAUCGGAGAAGGAUUAGCCCGCGUUAGAUUAGGUAGUUGGUGGGGUAAUGGCCUACCAAGCCUACGAUCUAUAGCUGGUUUGAGAGGAUGAUCAGCCACACUGGGACUGAGACACGGCCCAGACUCCUACGGGAGGCAGCAGUAGGGAAUCUUAGACAAUGGGGGAAACCCUGAUCUAGCCAUGCCGCGUGUGUGAUGAAGGCCUUAGGGUCGUAAAGCACUUUCGCCAGAGAUGAUAAUGACAGUAUCUGGUAAAGAAACCCCGGCUAACUCCGUGCCAGCAGCCGCGGUAAUACGGAGGGGGUUAGCGUUGUUCGGAAUUACUGGGCGUAAAGCGCACGUAGGCGGAUUAGUAAGUUAGAGGUGAAAUCCCAGGGCUCAACCCUGGAACUGCCUUUAAUACUGCUAGUCUUGAGUUCGAGAGAGGUAAGUGGAAUUCCAAGUGUAGAGGUGAAAUUGU